UGUGUGACGCAACUGGGGACCCACACAUCAAUUAAUUAAUUAAUUAAUUGGGCUCUCAAGCACAAAUUAAUUGGCCGACACCAAUAAAUUAAUUCUGCGCCCAUGCAUAAAUUAAUUGGGCGCCCAUGCACGGAAUAGCUGUGAUGUAAUCGGGCAUUCAUGCAUUAAUUAAUUGGGCGCGCGUGCAUGACGUCAUUGGGCGCUCAUGCAUAUGUUAAUUGGCUGUUCAUGCAUAAAUUAAUUGGGCGGCCAUGCAUAAAUUAAUUGGGCACCCAGGUGUGAUGCCAAGGUGGUCCUAAGGAGUGCUCAAGUGCGGCCUAAUUAAGCAAUCAGACAUGAAUUAAUUGCAUGGGGCUCAUCAGGUGCCGUGCCUGGGCUAAUUGGGCCCUCGUGCAUAAAUUGGUGGGGGUGGAGCUUUGGGGUACAGGGGGGUGUGGGGAUGGGAAGGGCCCAAAUCCCAAAUCCCACUGGGAAUGGCCCAGCUGGAGCUGCUGGGAGCUGUGGUUCCCUCCCAGGGGCUCAUCCACAGCCUCUGGAGCCUCCCCUGUUUUCAGGAAUCUGAAAAAAUCCCGCCCAGGCCUUCAAACCAACUCAGCGGCACUUGGGGAGGGAAAAGCUCAGUAAAUUACACUUAAUUAACAUUUAAUUAAUGCGUUUGAUGGCUUCCUGUGUUUCCAUGCAGCGCCCUGGAUCUGCCUGCACGAGAGGCUCCAGCAACUGUGGAGCUCGGAGAGCCCCCGGCUCUGAAUGACCCCUGAAUGAGGAGCCUCUCAAUUAAAAGUUUCCCAUUGACGCCGCCUCAAUGAGAGCGCGCUGGGGAAUUCUCCGCGCCUCAAUGGCCCCGGCCCUCGGCGAGUGGUGAGGGGCCGAUGGACUUCCCACAAUGUUUGUACACCUUCCUUUGUGGGGAUUUUUCCCUCCGCUGAGCCAGAAACCUUUAACACAUCCGCUCCCGGCGUGCCGCUCGUUGGGGACAGCGGGGACAGCGGUGCCACCGCCUCGGGAUGAUCGCACCGAGCUGGGAAUUCCAUGGGAAAAUUGAAUUUUCGCGAGCGAGAGGAGCUCUGUGUCACCCCAGGGCGAACCCCUGGGUCGGGGAAGGGCUUUGGUGGCGCUUUGGUGGCACUUUGUCACGCUUUGGUGGCACUUUGGUGGCCCCAGGGAAAGCAGAGCCUCCCCUUCCUUUCCCGCCCGCACAAAGGGGGCUCAAUUCGGGGACAAAAAGCCCCCGGGACAUUUCAGCACGGCCGAGGGCCCGGCUGACAGCGCUGAUUGUCACGGCCUCAUUAACCAUGCUAAUUAGCGGGCUGCCGGGGGCGGGCCCUGCAUAAUUUAUUCGGUUUAAUCUCAUUAAAAGCGGGACGGGGAGUGCGGGGAGCCAC